GCUAUCGCAGCUAACCCAGAGGCUACGCUACAGGACUGCUACUGCACACAGGGCUAUCGCAGCUAACCCAGAAGCUACGCUACAGGACUGCUACUGCACACAGGGCUAUCGCAGCUAACCCAGAGGCUACGCUACAGGACUGCUACUGCACACAGGGCUAUCGCAGCUAACCCAGAGGCUACGCUACAGGACUGCUACUGCACACAAGGCUAUCGCAGCCAACCCAGAGGCUACGGCUGAAGAUACGAACAGGUACAAAAAGUCUCUCUACGUCCUCCGCAGAGCCAUCAAACAAGCAAAAGGACCGUAUAGGAACAAGGGUGGAAUCCUAUUACACAGGCCCUGAUGCCCGACCCAUGUGGCAGGGGCUAGAGUCCAUUACGGAAUUCAAAGGAAGACCCAGCCGUCAUCUACCAAAAGGCCUCUCUACCAGAUUAAUUUUACGCACACUUUGAACAAAAAACACAGAACCGUGCAUGAGGGUCCCCCCCCGGCCCGAGCCAGGGGACUGGGUGAUCUCACUCUCCGAGGCCGACGUGUCGUAAGGCUUUAAUCAGGUCAACACUCACAAGGCCGUAAGGCUUUAAUCAGGUCAACACUCACAAGGCCGCAGGGCCGUAAGGCUUUAAUCAGGUCAACACUCACAAGGCCGCGGGGCCGUGAGGCUUUAAUCAGGUCAACACUCACAAGGCCGCGGGGCCGUAAGGCUUUAAUCAGGUCAACACUCACAAGGCCGCGGGGCCGUGAGGCUUUAAUCAGGUCAACACUCACAAGGCCGCGGGGCCGUGAGGCUUUAAUCAGGUCAACACUCACAAGGCCGGACGGUAUCCCAUGGCGCGUUUUCAGAGCACGCGAAGAAAACAGCUGGCAGGCAUAUUCAUGGUCAUUUUUUUCAACCUGUCCUUGUCCCAGUCUGUUAAUCCCCACGUCCUCAAGUUGACCACCCUCGUUCCUGUUCCCAAGAGCUCUUUAAGGGCUUCCUGCCACAACGACUACAGCAGCACUCACAAUCAGUAAUCAGGAAGUGCUUUGGAAGGCUGGCUAUGGCACACAUCAACUCCAUCAUCCCAGACCCACUCCGAUUUGCAUACCGCCCCAUCAGACCCAUUGACUACGCAAUCUCAGUUGCAACUCCACACUGCCCUCACCCACCUAGAUGAGAGGAAAAUACCUACGUGAGAGAAUGCUGUUCAUUAACUACAGAGUGUUUAACACCAUAGUCCCCUCCAAGCUCAUCACCAAGCUUGAGACCCUGGGGCUGGACACCUCCCUCUGCAACUCGAUGCUAGACUUCCUGCUAGGCUGGCCCCGGGUGGGGAGGGUAGGCAUCGCUGACAGGGGUAUGUGCUUAGUCCCCUCCUGUACUCCCUGUGUAACCACGACGACUCCAACAACAUCACCAAGCUUGAGACCCUGGGGCUGGACACCUCCCUCUGCAACUCGAUGCUAGACUUCCUGCUAGGCUGGCCCCGGGUGGGGAGGGUAGGCAUCGCUGACAGGGGUAUGUGCUUAGUCCCCUCCUGUACUCCCUGUGUAACCACGACGACUCCAACAACAUCACCAAGCUUGAGACCCUGGGGCUGGACACCUCCCUCUGCAACUCGAUGCUAGACUUCCUGCUAGGCUGGCCCCGGGUGGGGAGGGUAGGCAUCGCUGACAGGGGUAUGUGCUUAGUCCCCUCCUGUACUCCCUGUGUAACCACGACGACUCCAACAACAUCAUCAAGUUUGCUGACGACAUGACGGUGGUAGGCCUAAUCACCAGCGACGAUGAGACAGUCUACAGAAUUCAAGGCACACUUAACCGGCAUGGCUACCAGAGCAUUCUGCAGCGAUACGCCAUCCCAUUUGGUUUGGGCUUAGUGGGACUAUCAUUUGUUUUAGUGGGACUAUCAUUUGCCCUUACACACCUCCAGGCUGUGUAAGGGCUAUUUGACCAAGAAGGAGAGUGAUGGAGUUCUGCAUCAGAUGAUCUGGCCUCCACAAUCCCCUGACCUCAACCCAAUUGAGAUGGUUUGGGAUGAGUUGGAAAAGCAGCCAACAAGUUCUCAGCAUAUGUGGGGACUCCUUCCAGACUGUUGGAAAAGCAUUCCAGGUGAAGCUGGUUGAGAGAAUGCUGAGAGUGUGCAAAGUUGUCAUCAAGGCAAAGGGUGGCUACUU
ensembl:lncRNA